rnacentral:rRNA from 1 species
UUUGGUGACUCUAGAUAACCUCGGGCCGAUCGCGCGCCCUCCGCGGCGGCGACGAUUCUUUCGAAUGUCUGCCCUAUCAACUUUCGAUGGUACUUUAGGCGCCUACCAUGGUGACCACGGGUAACGGGGAAUCAGGGUUCGAUUCCGGAGAGGGAGCCUGAGAAACGGCUACCACAUCCAAGGAAGGCAGCAGGCGCGCAAAUUACCCAUUUCCGACUCGGAGAGGUAGUGACGAAAAAUAACAAUACAGGUCUCUUUCGAGGCCCUGUAAUUGGAAUGAGCGUAUCCUAAACCCAUGGGCGAGGACCCAUUGGAGGGCAAGUCUGGUGCCAGCAGCCGCGGUAAUUCCAGCUCCAAUAGCGUAUAUUAAAGUUGCUGCAGUUAAAAAGCUCGUAGUUGGAUCUCGGGAGUGGGCUGGCGGUCCGCCGCGAGGCGAGCCACCGCCUGUCCCGGACCCUGUCUCACGGAGCCCCCCGGAUGCCCUUUGCUGGGUGUCCGGUCACCCAAAGGGGCCCGAAGCGUUUACUUUGAAAAAAUUAGAGUGUUCAAAGCAGGCCGCCCGUCGCCGCUGAAUACUGCAGCUAGGAAUAAUGGAAUAGGACUCCGGUUCUAUUUUGUGGGUUUCUGGAACCCGGAGCCAUGAUUAAGAGGGACGGCCGGGGGCAUUCGUAUUGCGCCGCUAGAGGUGAAAUUCUUGGACCGGCGCAAGACGGACGAAAGCGAAAGCAUUUGCCAAGUAUGUUUUCAUUAAUCAAGAACGAAAGUCGGAGGUUCGAAGACGAUCAGAUACCGUCGUAGUUCCGACCGUAAACGAUGCCGACCCGCGAUCCGGCGGCGUUAUUCCCAUGACCCGCCGGGCAGCGUGCGGGAAACCACGAGUCUUUGGGUUCCGGGGGGAGUAUGGUUGCAAAGCUGAAACUUAAAGGAAUUGACGGAAGGGCACCACCAGGAGUGGAGCCUGCGGCUUAAUUUUGACUCAACACGGGAAACCUCACCCCGGCCCGGACACGGAAAGGAUUGACAGAUUGAUAGCUCUUUCUCGAUUCUGUGGGUGGUGGUGCAUGGCCGCUCUUAGUUGGUGGAGCGAUUUGUCUGGUUCAUUCCGAUAACGAACGAGACUCCGGCUUGUUAAAUAGUUACGCGGCCCCGUGCGGUCGGCGUUCAACUUCUUAGAGGAACAAGUGGCGUUCGCCCGCGAGAUGGAGCAUAACAGGUCUGUGAUGCCCUUAGAUGUCCGGGGCUGCACGCGCGCCACAAUGGGCGGAUCAGCGUGUGUCUACCCUGCGCCGAGAGGCGCGGGUAACCCGCUGAACCCCGCUCGUGAUCGGGACUGGGGAUUGAAACUAUUUCCCAUCAACGAGGAAUUCCCAGUAAGCGCGGGUCAUAAGCUCGCGUUGAUUAAGUCCCUGCCCUUUGUACACACCGCCCGUCGCUACUACCGAUUGGAUGGUUUAGUGAGGUCCUCGGAUCGGCCCCGCCGGGGCUCCUCGCGGGCCCUGGCGGAGCGCCGAGAAGACGAUCAAACUUGAUCAUCUAGAGGAAGUAAAAGUCGUAACAAGG